rnacentral:tRNA from 2 species
GUUUCGUUGAAUUACUCCGAUUCCCUUCUCUUUCACGGCGGCGACACGGGUUCGACUCCCGUACGGGACGCCA